CCUCUGCAAAAUGGACGAUAAACCCACAAUGAAAAAGAAAUUAUUUACCUGACGAUGAGUUGAGUUUGAGUCCGACCGACUAGGUUUCGUACAAUCAAGACUCAAGUCAAAUCCAACUCCACACUUCUUAGUAAAGAAAGUGAAAAACUAGUGAAAAUGAUGCGAACGAGGUUUUUGUGGUUUGGUGUAGGUUUCGCCUCUGCUUCUGGAGCAAUUGCACAGUUUGUGGUCACGGAUUUGUGGACGGAUCGCACUUCCCUUUUUGAUCAGUUGACGGAAAAGUUCAAUUCGUUGGAUACGCGAGUGUCUAAUUUGGAGUCUCUGAUUUCCACAAAACCUACUUCCCCUCAGGAUGAAGGGAAUCUUGAAUGAAGCUUCUGGUUUCUUGCAGCAUGAUCAUACUCAUGUUCUAGUUUCUACUGUUCCUUUUGAAGAUUGAACGAGCAAUAAAUACGCAUUUGCAUUACUUUUUUCAUCAGGAAGAUCGUUUUGUAUGACUAACAUUUUGAUAUCUACUCAUAGUCGUAUUCACUUUGUCACAUACAUUGCGCUCUCGAUGUCGUUUACUUUGUUAUACUUUGAUAUAUAAACUCACUAACUUGUGCUUUUGAUUUUGAUUAUGGCAUCAUUAGUUUCUCUACCUAGUUUGGGAAUUUUGUACAACAUCUGAACUAUGCUGCAUGUGAAUGAUUUUUGUCCAUUGAGUGGCCUGUAUAAAAUAAUUUAACUAUUUUGACUGAAAUUGCUACAUGUUUCAAAAGUCCAGCUCUGUGCUACAGCGUGUAAGCGCAAACUGUUCCAUCUCCAAGACAUUGUCAUUCACAUGAUCCGUAUAAUUGUAUUCCAUUGGCUGGCCAUACAAGGAGCCUCUGCAAUUAUAGGAGCAGUCUGUGCAGAGGUUAAAAGCUUCUAAAGUAGAGAAUCAAAGGAAGAGAUUAAUCACCUGCUUCAGAACUGGCAGCUCUUAUGAACUUCGAGGCAAGCAUCCUACGAAUCACAUGCUUUGCCAUCCUUGUUCCACGAAAGGUUCCCAUUUCUUCUACAUUUCAGUAAUAGUUGUUAUUGAAUUUCUAUUUGUUUUUGCUAGUUGUUCGGAUUAGAAAUUAAAGGAUUCUUGCCUCGCCAACUUAGAGCAUGACACGGAGUUUAAGAAAGGGAUGUUGAGUAGGUUAAAUAAAUAGAUAAAGAGAGUAAGUGAGAGAAUAAAGUAGAGGGAAUAAAAUAAGAGAGAGUAAAGUAAGAAAGAUAAAAAGAUUACUAUAUAUGGAAAUGACUCAACUAUGAGGGAACUUCCCGAAACGGAAAAAUGACUCAUCUGUAAGGGAACGGAACGGAGGGAGUAACUUACUAACAUGAAUGGUAGGGCUGCUAAUUUUUUACAUGUCAUGAUAACUUGACACGAACAUGCACGAAGUUAAUGGGUUGGGACCUGGUAACCACCCGGUGAUUUUGGGUUGGGUUAGGGUCUGACCUAUCAGGUGGACUCGAUAACGACCGAAUUGCACGAUUUGUCAGCCCUAAUAUAAGACAUCUUUUAACCCAUCCCUCAACUAUUGACUUACUACAGCCUAAGCCAACAAGAAGGGUUCUUAUGUUACACCUCUCAGGGUAAUGCAAAUUCUGGAGUAAGUUGCAACCUUCUUUUUACCAUUCACAAUUUGCAUUAUUUCACCUCUAUUAACCAGUAUCUUGUGUAUGAAGCAUGCGAUAUGGUGAACUUUAAUUAGCUACGCUUCCUAUAUUGUGCCUCUUGGUGGUAUGCUGUAAAUGCAUCUUUUGACGAUAAACUGCACAAAUUGUUAUUGUAUCUCAGAGGAUAAAUUUAUUGACAUUUUUAUUUUACUUUUUUGCUUGUUUUUGUGAAUUGUGAAUCGAAAGGCUGUUUAAACUGAAUGACAAUGUAUUUAUAGGUGAUUUCAACUUGUUGUAGGUGAAUGUGGCCCCCUUUUUUUAGUUGUAAA